rnacentral:lncRNA from 1 species
AUCAGUGAGUGAAUCAAGAGAUCUAAAAAGAAUUUUCACUUAGUAAAAAGACUAGGUCUACAUCAGGCUUUUUUUCUAUUCAGAGGUUUGGCUCCCUGCCAUAGGUUCAGGCAAUAAAUUGGUUGUAUCAGAGCUGCUUCCAGCACUCUGCUGAGUAGACGUGUUCUAACUUGGACAAUAGCUGGCACAAUAAGAACUGGAAAACAGUGGCAACUCAGGUUGCCAGGAUUUCUCAAGUACUUCCACAAUGCUGCUCCGCUCAGGCCGCAAAAAGCCUUACAAAGUACCUGUCAGCAGAAGACGAUAUGUUGAAAAGAAAUCUCAACCGAGGGCUAGUAAAACAGUUUCAGAAAAGUCAGCGUUUAGUCUACGAGAAACACUAAAAUGUUACAUACUGACAGAAGACUCAAAAACUGUGCAUUUUGACUUAGAUGAAAAUGGUCAUCAUGAAAUAUCUACCAAGGAUUCGCAGUCCCAUGAAGAUAUCGCAUGGUUAAGCGUGUUCACAAGCAAUGAACCAACAAUUUGUGGUGCUAAAAAUUUGGUGAUCCUCAUGCAGAGAUCAAAGCUUAAUGAAUUUGUCCUAUUGUGCAAGGGUGAAAAGCAGCUCUGUCUAAAGGUCUUAAAAGCAUGCUGUUCAGAGCCAGAUUACCCUACACUGAAAAGAUGCAACAUGAAAACAUGCAAGCAUGAAAAUCCAGACUUUGAACAGCUGAGGGAAGACAAUCACUUUUUCAUCAUGCAUUACCAAGGAGAUUCAGUGAAGUUCCAGUGCUACAAAGACACAAGUUACUAUCUGCAUGUGAAUGAGGACUCACUAGAUAUACGCAAGCCGGAAGACACAGAACCUGAUGGGGAGAAAAAUUUUUACUUCAGGGUGUCAUAUUUGCAGGAAAAGUAAUUUGUCUACCUUUCAGUUGCCUAAGUGUCCAUACAACUCCUAUAAUAGGCUAACAGAAAAAAAGGAAGAUUGAGAUCAUGUAGAACUAAUCUCCAUUUUGCCUUUUUUAAAACUUUUCUGUACCAUCUUGAGUCACAAUAUUCCAUUUUAUGAGAGUAACAUCCUUUAGUUCUGUUCUAUACAAUAGGAAGAGAAGUGGCUAAGUUGGGAAAGCAAACUAAGCAGUCUAUUGGCAUCGUAUCUGCACUAUUAUUGUUUUAAGUAGCUGAGUUCUUCCUGAAGAGAAAAAAUACACAGGCAUAUCUCAGAAACAGAGAUACAAGAGUGUAUCACACAUAGAUAUGAAAUAUAAAGCACAGUUAGUUUUCCACAUUGUAAACAUUUUCCUCUUUUAAAACGCAUACCUUAAAUAGGAAUCCUAAUGUCAAUCAAUCACACCAAUGCACAUGGCAGUAAGGCAAUUCAUCUAGAGUAGACAAAACCUCAAAGGGUUGUGAGUCCUUAAAAAAAGUUUGUUUUUUUCCCAAUAACCAUGCAGAGUUUCACUGCUAGAUUCACAGUUGUGUUCUCCAGAUAGUGAAAAUCAUUUUGCUGAUUUCAAUACUGAGUGAACAGAAGAAAGCUUUUGACUUUUCCCUAAAUAAUACUCAUGACUUCUGGAUCUGUUAAGUGGUCAGCAACGUCAGCAGAAAAAAACAGAUACUGAGUGCAGCAUAUAUUCCAUUAGAACUAUUGUGCUGCACAAGGAAUAAAUUCAAUUGGAUCUCAGGUAAAAUUCCA